rnacentral:rRNA from 1 species
CUACGUGCCAGCAGCCGCGGUAAUACGUAGGGUGCGAGCGUUAAUCGGAAUUACUGGGCGUAAAGCGAGCGCAGACGGUUACUUAAGCAGGAUGUGAAAUCCCCGGGCUCAACCUGGGAACUGCGUUCUGAACUGGGUGACUAGAGUGUGUCAGAGGGAGGUAGAAUUCCACGUGUAGCAGUGAAAUGCGUAGAGAUGUGGAGGAAUACCGAUGGCGAAGGCAGCCUCCUGGGAUAACACUGACGUUCAUGCCCGAAAGCGUGGGUAGCAAACAGGAUUAGAUACCCUGGUAGUCCACGCCCUAAACGAUGUCGAUUAGCUGUUGGGCAGCAUGACUGCUUAGUAGCGAAGCUAACGCGUGAAAUCGACUGCCUGGGGAGUACGGUCGCAAGAUUAAAACUCAAAGGAAUUGACGGGGACCCGCACAAGCGGUGGAUGAUGUGGAUUAAUUCGAUGCAACGCGAAGAACCUUACCUGGUCUUGACAU